UACGGAGGGUGCAAGCGUUAAUCGGAAUUACUGGGCGUAAAGCGCAUGCAGGCGGUUUGUUAAGCGAGAUGUGAAAGCCCCGGGCUCAACCUGGGAACUGCAUUUCGAACUGGCAAACUAGAGUUCUUGAGAGGGUGGUAGAAUUUCAGGUGUAGCGGUGAAAUGCGUAGAGAUCUGAAGGAUACAGUGGCGAAGGCGGCCACCUGGCAAGUAACUGACGCUCAGAUGCGAAAGCGUGGGUAGCAAACGGGAUUAGAUACCCCGGUAGUCCACGCCGUAAACGAUGUCUACUCGGAGUUUGGUUCCUUGAGAACUGGGCUCUUAAGCUAACGCAUUAAGUARACCGCCUGGGGAGUACGGCCGCAAGGUUAAAACUCAAAUGAAUUGACGGGGGCCCGCACAAGCGGKGGAGCAUGUGGUUUAAUUCGAUGCAACGCGAARAACCUUACCUACUCUUGACAUCCACAGAAUCUGGUAGAGAUACCUCAGUGCCUUCGGGAACUGUGAGACAGGUGCUGCAUGGCUGUCGUCAGCUCGUGUUGUGAAAUGUUGGGUUAAGUCCCGCAACGAGCGCAACCCUUAUCCUUAUUUGCCAGCACGUAAUGGUGGGAACUCUAAGGAGACUGCCGGUGAUAAACCGGAGGAAGGUGGGGACGACGUCAAGUCAUCAUGGCCCUUACGAGUAGGGCUACACACGUGCUACAAUGGCGCAUACAAAGGGCUGCAAACCAGCAAUGGUAAGCGAAUCCCAUAAAGUGCGUCGUAGUCCGGAUUGGGGUCUGCAACUCGACCCCAUGAAGUCGGAAUCGCUAGUAAUCGUGAAUCAGAAUGUCACGGUGAAUACGUUCCCGGGCCU
rnacentral:rRNA from 1 species